rnacentral:rRNA from 1 species
GACGUAGGAGGCGAGCGUUAUCCGGAUUCACUGGGCGUAAAGCGCAUGUAGGCGGAUGUCUAAGUCGUGUGUUAAAGCCCCUGGCUCAACUGGGGGAGGUCAUGCGAGACUGGAUGACUUGAGGGCUACAGAGGCACGUGGAACUCCCGGUGUAGCGGUGGAAUGCGUAGAGAUCGGGAGGAACAUCAGUUGCGAAGGCGGUUCUCUGGGACGGUACUGACGCUGAGACGCGAAAGCGUGGGGAGCGAACAGG